AGCUUGUUCAGAGGAGCUCAGCUGUGGGGGAGAGCUCAAAGCCAACACCUAUUGAGUUGCAGUUAAAAUGAGGGCGAAAAAGGCUUUUGUUUCAGUUCUGCAGAUGGUCUGGGAGCUUGUGUUUCUUAGCAAGAAUUUUCUAGAUCUUUUGGCUUGAACCAUCUGAAUAACUGCCUCAAGCUUUUGCAUGGUUCCCACUGGGUGGGCUGGGGUGGGAGGGGCUGUCAUGCAUGGUCCGGGAAAGCUGGAGAAGGCUGUUCCUUCACCCCGAGCCUUGGAUUUCUUAUCUGUGAAAUGGGAGGCUGCAAUGAUGAAUGGCAAAGUACCUUUUUUUUUUCAGCUUUGAAAGUCUAGGAUAUUUAGCCACUGGAAGACCAGCAGACAAUGUCAUGACAACUCAAGAGGAUACAACAGGGUUGCUUCAAAAGACAAGUCUUUGGACCAUGUCAAGACCUGGAGCGAAGAAGGUUUCAGUAUCGCCCUGACUUCUUUUGGAAGGAUCCCUUGGCCUCAGGCUGGAGUGGGCACCUGCCCUAGCCCACAGAGCUGGGUUUCUCCCUUUCUUCAAC
rnacentral:sRNA from 1 species